UCGGCUAGGGGGCCAUCCCGGCUUACCAACCCGAUGCAAACUGCGAAUACCGGAGAAUGUUAUCACGGGAGACACACGGCGGGUGCUAACGUCCGUCGUGAAGAGGGAAACAACCCAGACCGCCAGCUAAGGUCCCAAAGUCAUGGUUAAGUGGGAAACGAUGUGGGAAGGCCCAGACAGCCAGGAUGUUGGCUUAGAAGCAGCCAUCAUUUAAAGAAAGCGUAAUAGCUCACUGGUCGAGUCGGCCUGCGCGGAAGAUGUAACGGGGCUAAACCAUGCACCGAAGCUGCGGCAGCGACACUCAGGUGUUGUUGGGUAGGGGAGCGUUCUGUAAGCCUGUGAAGGUGGCCUGUGAGGGUUGCUGGAGGUAUCAGAAGUGCGAAUGCUGACAUAAGUAACGAUAAAGCGGGUGAAAAGCCCGCUCGCCGGAAGACCAAGGGUUCCUGUCCAACGUUAAUCGGGGCAGGGUGAGUCGACCCCUAAGGCGAGGCCGAAAGGCGUAGUCGAUGGGAAACAGGUUAAUAUUCCUGUACUUGGUGUUACUGCGAAGGGGGGACGGAGAAGGCUAUGUUGGCCGGGCGACGGUUGUCCCGGUUUAAGCGUGUAGGUGUGUGUUCCAGGUAAAUCCGGUUCACUUUAACACUGAGGCGUGAUGACGAGGCACUACGGUGCUGAAGCAACAAAUGCCCUGCUUCCAGGAAAAGCCUCUAAGCAUCAGGUAACAUCAAAUCGUACCCCAAACCGACACAGGUGGUCAGGUAGAGAAUACCAAGGCGCUUGAGAGAACUCGGGUGAAGGAACUA
rnacentral:rRNA from 1 species